CCUCCCUUCAAACAGCUGGACAGUGGACACGCCUGUGUUUCUCCGGACACUCCUAGGAAACGGUCAGUUGACACCCACAAAUGGCCUCUUCCUGUCAAUCUUCUUGCGAUCACCGGUGCAAUCACUUUCUUCGGCCAUCUUGAUGCUGUCCUGCACUCCCCGUUGCUGGGGGGACCUUGUGCCUGCGCAUUGCGGUCCAUACGCAUGCAUAGUUCAUACCCGAUUGCACAGCAGCGAUCGGGUCUGAAUUACCCCCUAAGAGUGACAGCUUCAGAAAAAUGGCAGCAAAGAUGGAUAUUAUCCAGGUCUGUGCCCAAAGCAUGGCCCGCUUUUACAUCAGCGUUGUCCUGGCAUUUGACGAAGUUGAAGACAGCAUCAGGAGAGUCCAAUACCAUCGCAGACUGAAAAAGAUGGAGAAAAAGAGAAAUAAGACCAAGACUCCACACCUCUCAUGGGUCAACUCAUGGAGCAAUGACAACGCCUAUGAGAGGUUGAUUUAAAAAAAAAAAACCAUCAAAACAAAAAACCAUCAAAAAAAAAACCAGCAUCAAAAAAUAAAAAUAAAAUAUCAAUGGGGGGGUAUUGUCGUACUGAGGUGGAUGUUGAGGGCAGCUGUGAUCAUGUGGUAAUUUUCUUGACUCUAGGAGAGGCUGGUAGACUGGAGGAAGUGUUGGUACUUACCUUAGGUGUAACUGUGGGGAGUAAACCCUUUGUUACCCAUUUAUUUGGUAACUCCCCUCAGCUACACCUAAGGCAAGUACCAACACUUCCUCCAGUCUGCCAUAUUUCUUCUGGCCUUUCAUAGAGCUUUACCACAUGAUCACAGCUGACCUCAACAUGCAUCUCAGUACGGCAAUUCCCCUCCCAUUGACUCACAUGGAUUGUAAUGUCAUUCUGACCUGGGUGCCUGUGGCUGGGCAAUGUCAGGGGAAACAACACAUUCAGCCUGCCCAAAGACCAUCACUUCUUUGCCACUUAUCCAGCUGAGGAAUGUGAGCAAGCCACCAGGACCAGUUGCAGCUGCUUCAAAUCUGAGGCCUUUCCACCUCCCGCAGCUGAAACCAGGAAGUCCAUCUGAUGCUCCGGCACUCAACAUGAAGACCAGCACCCCCUGAGGUUUCAUGUCAUCAAGAAACUGUGACAUACAUGAACCAGGGCAAUUAUUACAUCAUUCCAAUUCAUGCAACAAAAAAAUAUAUAGAAAAAUAAAACAAAAUAAAACUCUG